rnacentral:rRNA from 1 species
CUCCUAGUAAUAAGUGCCACGGUCUAGAUAACCCGUUCCAGGCAGGCCGCCGGGUAUAACGUAGGGUGGACAAGGCGUUAUUCCGGAUAUUAUUUGGGGGCGUAAGGCGAGCGCAGGGCGGUUCUUUUAAGUCUAAAUGUGUAAAGCUUUCCGGCUCAACCGAAAGAAAGUGCAAUGGGAAACUGGGGAGACUUGGAGUGGCAGAAGAGGACAGGUGGAAACUUCCAUUGUGUAGCGGUGAAAUGCGUAGAUAUAUGGAAGAACACCAGUGGCGAAGGCGGCUGUCUGGUCUGUAACUGACGCUGAGGCUCGAAAGCAUGGGUAGCGAAACAGGAUUAGAUACCCUGGUAGUCCAUGCCCGUAAACGAUGAUUACUAAGUGUUGGAGGGUUUCCGCCCUUCAGUGCUGCAGCUAACGCAUUAAGUAAUCCGCCUGGGGAGUACGACCGCAAAGGUUGAAACUCAAAAAGAAUUGACGGGGGGCCCGCACAAGCGGUGGAGCAUGUGGUUUAAUUCGAAGCUACGCGAAGAACCUUACCAGGUCUUGACAUCUUCUGCCAACCUAAGAGAUUAGGCGUUCCCUUCGGGGACAGAAUGACAGGUGGUGCAUGGUUGUCGUCAGCUCGUGUCGUGAGAUGUUGGGUUAAGUCCCGCAACGAGCGCAACCCUUAUUACUAGUUGCCAGCAUUCAGUUGGGCACUCUAGUGAGACUGCCGGUGACAAACCGGAGGAAGGUGGGGACGACGUCAAAUCAUCAUGCCCCUUAUGACCUGGGCUACACACGUGCUACAAUGGAUGGUACAACGAGUCGCGAAACCGCGAGGUUUAGCUAAUCUCUUAAAACCAUUCUCAGUUCGGACUGUAGGCUGCAACUCGCCUACACGAAGUCGGAAUCGCUAGUAAUCGCGGAUCAGCAUGCCGCGGUGAAUACGUUCCCGGGCCUUGUACACACCGCAAAGUGCACACCAUCUGUGUUUGUGACAUCCAAGGCCGGUAGCUCCCACAGGGACCCCCAUCAAUUGGAGGUGGC